rnacentral:misc_RNA from 1 species
AGAACCAUUUUUUGGAAUGGAAAACAAGGAACUCAAAUAAAGAGCUUUCAAAUGCACCAAGCUGAUGUUUUGUGUUUAGCUGUUCACCAGGAUGAAAAGCAAGUGUUCUCCUCUGGGGUGGAUCCCAAGGUGGUGCAGUUCCAGUACACCACCACGAGUCGAGAGAGCGACUGGAAGAUGUGGGUCAGAACCAAAAUCUGGUACCAACACACCCACGAUGUGCGGGCUAUGGCUGUAACUCCCACUGAUGUUGUGUCUGGGGGUGUGGACACAACUCUUCUAGCUAAUCGACUUGGUAAUGAGAAAAACAAAAGAAAAAUGAGAUCAAUCCCCAUGCAUCAGUUGGUGGGCGUGGCUAAGGACAGAAAUGCCCUCCUGCUGCAGUACCCUGACUACCUGGAGCUAUGGAGACUGGGAAACACCAGGAAAACCUCGGAGAAAGAUGGGGAGGUUUUACCUGAGGAAAUCCCUCCACAGAAGCUGAUCCAGCUGAAGACAAAAGAUGGGCAGCAUAUUGCCUGUUGUGCAAUAAGUUCUCGUGCAAACUGGAUGUCAUACUCGGACAUAGAUGGCUUCAAGCUGUACAAAAUAACAAUGACUGACACAGAAUCCAUCUCACCAUCAGUUGAUCUCAGGAAGGUGAAAAAAGGCCUUCCUUCCUAUUCAGCUCAUCGGAUUGUUUUCACCCCAGAUGAAAAGUUCUUGGUGAUAGCUACAUCCUGUCAAAAAAUUGUAGUUAUCUCCCUUGACGAGGACUCUGUGUCUCUGUAUCAUGCAUGGGAUGAUUACACAGAGGAGUCUAUACACCAGCUGAGUGUCAGCCCCAACAGUAAACUGGUGGCUGUAGCUGACCUGUCCUACAAAAUAACAGUGCUGGGGGUGGUAUCCAAGGAGGUUGUGUCUCAGUUGCCCAGCUAUAAAUCAACAGUAACAGCUAUGACCUUCACUCCAGACAGUCGUAAUCUGAUCACUGCACAUGCAGAUCAAAAGAUUUAUGAGUUCGAUGUCGAGAAAAAGGAAUACAGUGAUUGGUGUCGGGAGGUGUGUAACAAGUUCCCGAACGCCUGGAAGAAGAGGCAUCAGAUCAUCCACCACAUCUCUACCUCCCCACGCUAUCCCGAUAAAAUAUUCUUUUGUGAUCUAGACAAGUUUUUCAUCUUAGACAAAACACAGCCAUUCCCAAGCAUAGGAUCUAAACCUUUCAAUUUGGUAGCCAGACCAAAUUCUUCCAAAGUGUCUGCAUUUCAUGUUUGUACAAGAUUUCGUUAUCUUAUUCAUAUGGACUUCGUUAAUGAUGAUUGGGUUGUUAUGGUAGAACGCACAAAACUAGCAAUGAUGGAGUCGCUUCCAAUGGCAAUGCAACAAAAGAAAUUUGGAACUUGAGGAAAAUGUUCUUUAUAUUGUGUAUUGUGAAUUUCAAAACCACAUUUAUAAGAAAUUGAGGAGAACCAUGCUGUUCUAUCAAAAAACAUUUGGGAUCUGUUACAUGUCAUGCAUGCUAAAUUUGAUCAUGAGGAAACAUGCAUUGAUUUAUGUACUAUGCAACAUGUGCUUUACUGAAAGUCACCUUGGGAUUAUGUUUUAUUUGUAACUAUUUUCAUUCUUGUGAUAAUGAAUGCAUACACACACAUUUCUUAAGUAUGUGUCUAUACAAUUUCAUGUACAUACAUGUACAUGUAUUGAUCAUAUAGCCAUGAUCUGUGUGAUUAACUGAUUAACCUACAAUGGAUUACUGGGCAAUAAAACUUAAAUCAU